GCUGAGGCAAGGGAAUGAUGAAAUGGCCACUAUGAUGUUGGCUCGACUCACUCAGACGACACCGGCCGGAGCGAUGCGUGCGUGCUAGCUCGACGGCGUGUUUCUGAUUGAGCCGUGCCAAUAUCUUAGUGCUCUUUCAUGCAUAGAAGCUAUCUU